GAUGAACGCCAGCGAUAGGCUUAACACAUGCAAGUCGAGGGGUAACGUGUUGGAAGCUUGCUUCCGAUGACGACGACCGGCGGAUGGGUGCGUAACGCGUAUGCAACUUGCCUCACAGAGGAGAAUAACCCGGAGAAAUCCGGACUAAUGCUCCAUACACUCUUGAGUACGCCUGUACAUGAGAGGAAAGAUUUAUCGCUGUGAGAUAGGCAUGCGUCCUAUUAGGUAGUUGGUGAGGUAACGGCUCACCAAGCCGACGAUAGGUAGGGGUGCUGAGAGGCAGAUCCCCCACAUUGGGACUGAGACACGGCCCAAACUCCUACGGGAGGCAGCAGUGAGGAAUAUUGGUCAAUGGAGGAAACUCUGAACCAGCCAAGUCGCGUGAAGGAAGAAUGUCCUAAGGAUUGUAAACUUCUUUAGCGAGCGAGUAAGGACUUCCACGUGAUGGGAGUUUGAAAGUAGCUCGAGAAUAAGUAUCGGCUAACUCCGUGCCAGCAGC
rnacentral:rRNA from 1 species